rnacentral:ncRNA from 1 species
GAACUACGCCUGAGCAGGGCGAAGCCAGAGGAAACUCUGGUGGAGGCCCAUAGGGGUCCUGACGGGCAAUUCAGUUGUCCGUCCGGGGAAUAGGGGCGAAGAAUUAAUCAA